rnacentral:ncRNA from 1 species
CCAAGGGCAAAUACGCGGAAACGCGUAGACGCAAAGCCACGGAGCUAAGGCGCAUGACGCUAUGCCAGCCGGGCCGC